rnacentral:rRNA from 1 species
AGUACGGCGGAACACGAGAAAUUCCGUCGGAAUCCGCGGGGACCAUCCCGCAAGGCUAAAUACUCCCUAGUGACCGAUAGUGAACCAGUACCGUGAGGGAAAGGUGAAAAGCACCCCGGAAGGGGAGUGAAAUAGAUCCUGAAACCGUGUGCCUACAACAAGUCAAAGCUCGUUAAUGAGUGAUGGCGUGCCUUUUGUAGAAUGAACCGGCGAGUUACGAUUGCAUGCGAGGUUAAGUCGAAGAGACGGAGCCGCAGCGAAAGCGAGUCUGAAUAGGGCGAAUGAGUAUGUAGUCGUAGACCCGAAACCAUGUGAUCUACCCAUGUCCAGGUUGAAGGUGCGGUAAAACGCACUGGAGGACCGAACCCACGUACGUUGAAAAGUGCGGGGAUGAGGUGUGGGUAGCGGAGAAAUUCCAAACGAACUUGGAGAUAGCUGGUUCUCUCCGAAAUAGCUUUAGGGCUAGCCUCGGAAUUGAGAAUGAUGGAGGUAGAGCACUGUUUGGACUAGGGGCCCAUCUCGGGUUACCGAAUUCAGAUAAACUCCGAAUGCCAUUCAUUUAUAUCCGGGAGUCAGACUGCGAGUGAUAAGAUCCGUAGUCGAAAGGGAAACAGCCCAGACCACCAGCUAAGGUCCCAAAAUAUAUGUUAAGUGGAAAAGGAUGUGGGGUUGCACAGACAACUAGGAUGUUGGCUUAGAAGCAGCCACCAUUUAAAGAGUGCGUAAUAGCUCACUAGUCGAGUGACCCUGCGCCGAAAAUGUACCGGGGCUAAACAUAUUACCGAAGCUGUGGACUACACCAUUAGGUGUAGUGGUAGGAGAGCGUUCUAAGGGCGUUGAAGGUCGAUCGUGAGGACGGCUGGAGCGCUUAGAAGUGAGAAUGCCGGUAUGAGUAGCGAAAGACAGGUGAGAAUCCUGUCCACCGUAUGACUAAGGUUUCCUGGGGAAGGCUCGUCCGCCCAGGGUUAGUCGGGACCUAAGCCGAGGCCGAUAGGCGUAGGCGAUGGACAACAGGUUGAUAUUCCUGUACCAGUUGUUUUUGUUUGAGCAAUGGAGGGACGCAGUAGGCUAAGGAAUGCAUGCGAUUGGAAGUGCAUGUCCAAGCAAUGAGUCUUGAGUAGAGUUAAAUGCUUUACUCUCUAAGGACAAGUUGUGACGGGGAGCGAAAUAAUAGUAGCGAAGUUCCUGAUGUCACACUGCCAA